AAAUUAAGUGCUACUUUCAGUAGUUUCGGUAUGUAAGUGGUUUUUAACAGAAGGACGGGGUUAUCGAUUCGACGUGUUUGGAUUUCUGAGCCUACGAGAUUUGUAUUACAAAACAAAGACCUUAAAUUUUCUGUAAAUUGUAUUAUCACGUCUCUUAUACAAUUGAUAAAAAUAAAAUGGGUUCUGAAUAUUUUGAAACAAAUUCCCUAGACUUUACCGAAUUUUGGGCCAACACAGGCGUGAAUAGCGAAGUCCUUCGCGGCGCAAAGCUACGGGAGGAGAAACCCAACUGUAGUAAAAAUCAACAACAGUUUACACCAGUUAAUAUCAAUAUAAACGGCUCUGUAAAGAAGAUGAAGCAUGGCAAACGUAAACGAGGUACAAAUACAAAGAAGUAUAGCAGAUGUCCAAUGAGAAUAGCAGAGCUAGCUGUUCCGACUAAGCGUCAAUGUCUUGAUACCUGGAGAAAUAGAGGGAAGACUCUCCCUAACUUCAUGGUAGAAAGGUUGCGACAACACGUUAUGGAUGAAAGAGCAGUGGUCCAUAUUAAUGAUGCAAUUUAUUGCUUUAAAGCUCACAAAGUUAAACGAUCUAGACCAAAUAAAUUCAAGUCUAUAAAGAAAGGAAACAUCGAUAGAACAAAAUUAUUCUGCGCUAUUUUUGGACACAGAAUUGUAUUGAAGUUAUUGCCACCUGGACGAAUACCAGUACAUACGAGUUUGAGGAAUCUUACUGAAAUCGUAAACAAUGACAUUGAACAGCUUCUUGGAAAAAGGAAAAGAAAUACCAUUCAUAAAACAAUACGAGACGAAAUAUCAGAAAAGGUGACUGUUUGGAUUGCGAGUGUUCUUGACGACUCGGAUAUUAAGUUAAUGAUGGAUGACUUAGAAGACUUAGAAGAAAAGGAGGGGCAUGUAUGGGAUAUAAUCGAUGAUCUGAUUGAUGCAAUAGUAGUAGUAAGUCUUUGUAUUGAAGUAAAAGUACCAAUGUUUAUAUCAUGUAUUAAAUCAUGUUAUUUUCAGGAGAAUUGCAAAACUGAAAGCAUAUCGUACGUAGAUGAGAAAUAUCCAUCGGAAACAUGUAGCUUCAAUUCAAUUGACAGCAAUAUAUCACGUUCAUCAUUAAACAAAGAAGAAAAAAUUAGCUUUUAUGAUGACAUAAAUAUAAACAACAUAGAUACCGAAACAAAUGAAUACAAAACCAAUAUGAUAGAUGUUAUUUUAUUGGAUAUAAUUGACACUAUAUGUGGAUAUGACAAUCAAAUAAAUGGUUUUGUUCAAAAUCUUCUUGAUAACACAGUAUCAGAAGUCAUAGGCUUCAAUAACGAGGAAAUAAAUAUAAAUAAUGAAAUAAAUACAAUAGACAUGACUGGUAGCCAUUCGCCUAAAAUGAUUAUUUUAGAACAAGCCGAUUCUGUGAAUGAAUUUAUCUCUAAUAAUACUGACAAAAUAGUUUUUAAUGUAACAGAAACACCAGAAAGCAAUACUAGCAAAUUAGAAAACAGAGAAGAAACCAAAAAUACAGACGAACAAAAUGAUUUUGACAACCAAACUUACUACGAUGUACUACCCAAAGAUACAAGUACUCAAGGUGCAGAUAAUGAUAUCAUAAAAGAAAGAAACAAUAGUGAAAACCAAGAAAGCGUUACUAUUAGAGAACAAAUACAAUUGGAAAGUCCCGAAAGCAAUCAAACUGAACAAAUACAAGAGGACGACGCUUGGAAUCAGCUCACAGUAUCUGAAACAAAACUACCUAUCGAAUAUGGGUCAGAUACAAAUGUCAGUAUGGAAAAUAUUGAAUUAGAGCCAAAAGACUCAUAUGAAUGGCCCGAAGAUAGUUUUAAAAAAGUAAAAUUUUCUCAUACCAAUAUCGGAAACGAACAACAGUCAAUAGACGGUGAUUCCAGGAACAAUAACAAUGAGACCAGCUUUUUGCACAAAAAACUUUCAUCAAGCUCACAAAGAAACUACUUUAAACAUAUUAAUUUUUCCCCUCCAAAUACACACCUUCUAUAUAAUGUAGACGAAACAUGGCCUGAAGACUAUUUUCCUUUAACAACUAAACUUUCUGCCACCGUCAGCAAGUCCGUAAUAUCAUUAGGUUUCAUUAAUGAAGCAGAUGAGAAAUCAAUUCCCUCUCCCAUCACUUUAAAAGAGAGGGAACAAACUGUUGAAAAACAAUUUGUGGCAGAGCUUUCUGAAUUAAGUGAAGAAAUUUUCAAAGGCAGUAAUGAUUUACAAAAAACUAUUUUGCGAGAUAUAUGUAAUACAUAUACGGCUAUAGAAUUGAAAGAUGAAGAUACAUAUCAGACUUCACAAGGAAGUGAUUCUGUUUGCUUAAACAUAAAAAGGUCACAUGAAAAGGGUGAUAACGGAGACAGUAAAGCAAUACUUAUGAAUGAUAUCAGUAAAUCACAGAACACUCGAAAAUUAACAGUCAAGGUUUUGUCUUGUAUUAACAUUGCUUCGGAAAUAGAAGUUUUAUCAGCUAAAUGCCUCACCAAAGAAAAACAAAUACAAACAGAUUCAGAGAAAAUAAAGUUAAAUCCAAAAUACAAACCAAUACGACACCACGAGGUACGUAUUAUAUGCAAAGGACUUUAUAAUGUUGUUAUAAAUAUGGAAAAAUGGUUAAAUUGGAUAAUUUGUGUAACAAACAUCGUAACUGCAAAAUUACGGGAAAAUGGUAUAAAUAAGUCUAUGUUGACCACUGGUAUUUCAUAUCUCUUGAAUUUCAGUAAUAAAUUCUGCUUUCAGAUGGAAAUAGUAUAAAAACACAAAAAGAUAAAGAUAAUUAUUUGAAAGAGUGGUUACAAUUAAAGAAAAGUGUUGAUUCAGAUAGAAAAGUAUGGCAUCAUUUAUACAAAAGGCUCUCUAUUGGUAUAAAUAGUUACAAAAAUCAUUUUAAAGAGGACAAUGCUAAGAUCAAGUCUGUACAACUAAAAUCAUGUACAUGUAGGGGUUUUUAGCGGUUUUUAUUGAAUUGCAGUUUAUACAUCAAAUAUAAUAAAAAUAUUAUCUGCACAAUGUCUUUCACUUGUUACUUAAAAUGUACACUUAUUUGAUUAAAGUCAUAUUUUCUGACUUUAGUAUCAC